rnacentral:rRNA from 1 species
AUGAUGCAACAAAUCUGGUCCGUUGAUCAAGCACAAGCUCUAGCCUUAAAGGCCGAGAGGUUUGCGAGGAUGAGAAAGACAACUAAGGCUCCAUAUCCUCAUACCGAAGGCUCAUCUAGGAGCCAACCUAAUAGAGUGGAAGAAAAGACCACUCCACCAAAGACAAAACAGCCCAUCCCGAAGCAAACUAGAGGCAAGGGUAAGGCAAAUGAAGGCCCAAAGUACUAUAAAUGUGGUAAAGAGGGACACAUAUCCAGCGGUUGCCCACUAAGGAAAUUUGUUAACACGACUAUCCAUGAUGGUGAAAGCGAUGAGGAAGAAUACGAAUCUGAAGAUGUAGACGGACAAGAGGUUUGUCAAGAAGAAAGUGAAGAGGUGGUAUGUGUGAUCCAGCGUGUCCUAUGUUCCACACCACAACUCGAUGACACACAACGGAAGAAAAUAUUUGAGAGCAAAUGCACGGUGAAUGGCAAGGUAUGCAAACUAGUGAUUGAUAGUUGCAGCUGCGAGAAUCUUAUCUCCCAGAAGUUGGUGGACCAUUUAAAGCUUGAAACCCAUGAUCAUCCAAAUCCCUACACUAUUGGAUGGAUCAAGAAAGGAGUGAAUAUGAGGAUCACCAAACAAUGCAACCUGCCACUUUCUUUGGGUAAGCAUUAUCGCUCAAAUGUGUUGUGUGAUGUGGUUGACAUGGAUGCCAGCCAUGUUCUUCUUGGGAGGCCUUGGCAAUUUGAUGUGGAUACUACACACAAGGGCAAGGAAAAUUCUUACUCUUUCCUUUGGAACAAGAGAAGGAUCAUUAUCUUACCAAACAAAACCGAAGGUAAUACCUCUAAGGAGGAGGGGAAAACUAUGUUAACUAUCUCCCAUACCUCUCAUGAGUUUAUGGAAGACUUGAAGGAGGCAGAUUUGUGUGUUGCACUUGUUGUAAAGGGAGAAGAGCACCUGACUGUUGAAAUUUCAGCAAAGGUACGUGGUUUAUUGGCAGAAUUUCAGAACAUACUUGGGGAGCCACAUGGCUUGCCACCGAUGAGAGGAAUUCAACAUAGAAUUGACUUAAUUCCGGGAGCAAGUCUUCCUAAUCUUCCACACUAUCGAAUGAGCCCAAAGGAGCAUGAUAUAUUGAAGGAGAAAGUGGAGGAAUUGUUGCAAAAGGGGCACAUUCGAGAAAGUAUUAGCCCAUGUGUUGUACCAGCCUUACUCGCGCCAAAGAAAGAUGGAUCUUGGCGCAUGUGUACGGACAGUAGAGCCGUUAACAAGAUCACCGUAAGGUAUAGAUUCCCUAUUCCCCGUCUGGAUGAUAUGUUGGAUCAGCUUAGUGGAGCAAGAGUGUUCACAAAGCUAGAUUUAAGAAGUGGAUAUCAUCAAAUCCGUAUAAGACCCGGGGAUGAAUGGAAGACCGCCUUCAAGACAAAGGGUUGUUUGAAUGGCUAG